rnacentral:rRNA from 1 species
ACUCAAAGGAAUAGACGGGGACCCGCACAAACGGUGGAGCAUGUGGUUUAAUACGACGAUACGCGUGGAACCUUACCCAGGCUUGACAUGUACUAGAAAGCCCUAUGAAAGUAGGGCCCUGGCUUCGGUCACUGGUACACAGGUGUUGCAUGGCUGUCGUCAGCUCGUGUCGUGAGAUGUUGGGUUAAGUCCCGCAACGAGCGCAACCCUUAUCUUUAGUUGCAAACCAGCAAUGGUGCACUCUAGAGAGACUGCCGCUGAUAAAGCGGAGGAAGGUGAGGAUGACGUCAAGUCAGUACGGCCCUUACGCCUGGGGCUACACACGUGCUACAAUGGUCGGUACAAUGGGUUGCGAUACCGCGAGGUGGAGCUAAUCCCCAAAAGCCGACCCCAGUACGGAUUGAAGGCUGCAAUUCGCCUUCAUGAAGCCGGAAUCGUUAGUAACCCCGUAUCAGCUACGACGGGGUGAAUACGUUCCCGGGUCUUGUACACACCGCCCGU